rnacentral:tRNA from 1 species
GUGGGUGUAGCUCAGCUGGUAGAGCAUCGGCUUGUGGUGCCGAGGGUCGCGGGUUCAAGCCCCGUCACUCACC